rnacentral:rRNA from 1 species
GUUGGCUUAGAAGCAGCUAUUCAUUCAAAGAGUGCGUAAUAGCUCACUAGUCGAGUGACCCUGCGCCGAAAAUGUACCGGGGCUAAAACAAUUUACCGAAGCUGUGGAUACCUUUAUAGGUAUGGUAGGAGAGCGUCCUAUGUGUGAUGAAGGUAUACCGUGAGGAGUGCUGGAACGCAUAGAAGUGAGAAUGCCGGUAUGAGUAGCGAAAGACAGGUGAGAAUCCUGUCCACCGUAAGACUAAGGUUUCCAGGGUAAGGCUCGUCCGCCCUGGGUUAGUCGGGACCUAAGGAGAGACCGAAAGGUGUAUCCGAUGGUACAACAGGUUGAUAUUCCUGUACUAGAGUAUGUAGUGAUGGAGGGACGCAGAAGUGCUAACUAAAAGCAGACGAUUGGAAGAGUCUGUCUAAGGAGUGAGGUGUGAAUUGAGUCAAAUGCUUAAUUCUAUAACAUUGAGCUGUGAUGGGGAGCGAAGUUUAGUAGCGAAGUUAGUAACGUCACACUGCCAAGAAAAGCUUCUAGCGUUUAAACAUACUCUACCACGUACCGCAAACCGACACAGGUAGUCGAGGCGAGUAGCCUCAGGUGAGCGAGAGAACUCUCGUUAAGGAACUCGGCAAAAUG